CCCAGUGUGGUGUAGUGGUUUGAAUGUUAGACUAUGACUCUGGAGACAAGGGUUCGACUCUCAGCUCAGCUU